rnacentral:rRNA from 1 species
UUCCGGUUGAUCCUGCCGGACCUGACUGCUAUCGGAUUGAUACUAAGCCAUGCGAGUCUUUGUAGUAAUACAAGGCAGACGGCUCAGUAACACGUAGUCAACCUACCCUAUGGACAAGAAUAAUCUCGGGAAACUGGGCAUAAUUCUUGAUAGAUCAUAAUGCCUGGAAUGGUUUAUGGUUAAAAUGAUUCGUCGCCAUAGGAUGGGACUGCGGCCUAUCAGCUUGUUGGUGAGGUAAUGGCCCACCAAGGCGAUUACAGGUACGGGCUCUGAGAGGAGAAGCCCGGAGAUGGGUACUGAGACACGGACCCAGGCCCUAUGGGGCGCAGCAGGCGAGAAAACUUUGCAAUGUGCGAAAGCACGACAAGGUUAAUCCGAGUGAUUUCUGCUAAAGAAAUCUUUUGCCAGUCAUAAAACCACUGGUGAAUAAGGGGUGGGCAAGUUCUGGUGUCAGCCGCCGCGGUAAAACCAGCACCUCAAGUGGUCAGGAUGAUUAUUGGGCCUAAAGCAUCCGUAGCCGGCUUUGUAAGUUUUCGGUUAAAUCCAUGUGCUCAACGCAUGGGCUGCCGAAAAUACUGCAUGGCUAGGGAGUGGGAGAGGUAGACGGUACUCAGUAGGAAGGGGUAAAAUCCUUUGAUCUAUUGAUGACCACCUGUGGCGAAGGCGGUCUACCAGAACACGUUCGACGGUGAGGGAUGAAAGCUGGGGGAGCAAACCGGAUUAGAUACCCGGGUAGUCCCAGCUGUAAACGAUGCAGACUCGAUGAUGCAUUGGCAUAAUAGCCAGUGCAGUGUCGCAGGGAAGCCGUUAAGUCUGCCGCCUGGGAAGUACGUACGCAAGUAUGAAACUUAAAGGAAUUGGCGGGGGAGCACCACAAGGGGUGAAGCCUGCGGUUCAAUUGGAGUCAACGCCGGG